rnacentral:rRNA from 1 species
GACGAACGCUGGCGGCGUGCUUAACACAUGCAAGUCGAACGAUGAAGCUGGAGCUUGCUCUGGCGGAUUAGUGGCGAACGGGUGAGUAACACGUGAGAAAUCUGCCCUUGACUCUGGGAUAACUGCGGGAAACUGUAGCUAAUACCGGAUACUUUCCCUGGUGGGCAUCCACUGGGGAAGAAGGAAUUUCGGUCAAGGAUGAUCUCGCGGCCUAUCAGCUUGUUGGUGAGGUAAUGGCUCACCAAGGCGACGACGGGUAGCCGGCCUGAGAGGGUGACCGGCCACACCGGGACUGAGACACGGCCCAGACUCCUACGGGAGGCAGCAGUGGGGAAUAUUGCACAAUGGGCGCAAGCCUGAUGCAGCAACGCCGCGUGAGGGAUGAAGGCCUUCGGGUUGUAAACCUCUUUUAGCAGGGAAGAAGCGAAAGUGACGGUACCUGCAGAAAAAGCACCGGCUAACUACGUGCCAGCCGCCGCAGUAA